UUCUGAGUUCCCGUCACCCCCCAGUCCACUACUGUCCGAAAAGUCGUUAACAAUUGGUCCCUCCCCGCGUUUCUCCACCUCUCUCGCUUUCUCGCUGUCUUGCUCAGAAGAAAGGGGUAUGAGAGAGAGACAGAUCCGGCGGCUUCGAAGGAGAGAUCGGAGGGGUAUCUAGGGUUUUGGGGAGUUCUGGCGAGAAAUCUUCGAAUUAGGGAUUGUUCUCGUCUCUGAUCUCGUCGGAUUAGGGUUCGGGAGGCGAUUGAGCGGUGGAAACGUUCGAUUUUGGGGCGUGGAUGAGAGAUCUCCGGCGGGGGUCGUGAUAUGGCGUCGUCGGAGGUGACAACGAGGGGAAACGGCAGUAAUGGGAGGGGAGAAAGCUUCUCCACCGUAUGCAGCGAAUCCGGCGCCGACGCCGCGAGGACCCCGUCCUCCGCCGCUCCCAGGAGAGAUGCGGAGGACUCACUUUAUACUGAGCUCUGGCUCGCGUGCGCUGGGCCUCUGGUGACGAUUCCUCGCGUGGGGGAGAGGGUCUUCUACUUUCCUCAAGGUCAUAUAGAGCAGGUGGAGGCUUCUACAAAUCAGUUGGCCGAGAAGCAGGUGAAAAUAUAUGACCUGCCAUCCAAAAUCCUUUGCCGAGUGAUAAACAUCCAACUGAAGGCACGCCUUUUAGAUCCCUCUUUUUGUAAAAUAAUUAGAUUUUUCCGGGCUUUUCUUGUCUCUCCAUUGAUGAACUUUCUCUAUUGUGUUGGACAGGCCGAACAGGAGACGGAUGAGGUCUUUGCUCAGGUGACGCUGCUGCCCGAGGCAAAUCAAGAUGAGAACGCUUUGGAGAAGGAGAAUUUGCCGUCUCCACCACCAAGGCCUCAUGUGCACUCUUUCUGCAAGACUUUGACUGCAUCUGACACAAGCACCCACGGUGGGUUCUCUGUGUUGAGGAGGCAUGCCGAUGAAUGCCUCCCUCCAUUGGAUAUGCGCUUGCAACCUCCAACGCAGGAGUUGGUGGCAAGGGAUUUGCAUGGGGUUGAAUGGCGCUUCCGCCACAUCUUUCGCGGUCAACCAAGGAGACAUCUGCUUCAGAGUGGAUGGAGUGUCUUUGUUAGUUCUAAAAGGCUUGUUGCUGGGGAUGCUUUUAUUUUUCUAAGAGGAGAAAAUGGUGAACUACGUGUUGGGGUGAGGCGGGCUAUGAGACAACAAACAAAUGUUCCAUCGUCAGUCAUAUCUAGUCACAGUAUGCACCUUGGUGUCCUUGCAACAGCAUGGCAUGCUGUAACAACCGGAACCAUGUUCACUGUUUAUUACAAACCAAGGACUAGUCCAUGUGAGUUCAUUGUUCCCUAUGAUCGAUACAUGGAAUCUCUCAAGGACAACUACUCGAUCGGGAUGAGAUUCAAGAUGAGGUUUGAAGGUGAAGAGGCUCCAGAGCAAAGGUUUACCGGCACCAUAGUUGGCAUAGGAGAUGUUGACUCUGUCUGUUGGCCUGCAUCAAAAUGGAGAUGCCUCCAGGUGCGGUGGGAUGAGACAUCAUCCAUUCCUCGUCCGCAGAGAGUUUCUCCUUGGAACAUAGAACCUGCUCUGAAUCCUCCAUUGAACCCCCUUCCAACACCUAAGACCAAAAGGCCUCGACCAAAUGCCAUGCCCUUGUCCCCUGAUUCAUCUGUUCUAACAAAAGAAGUUGCAAUCAAAGUCACUGCAGACCCUUCCCAAAUUCAUGGAGUUUCAAGGAUCUUGCAAGGCCAAGAUAGGAUGACCUUGAGAAACAACUUAAGCGACAGUAAUGAUUCAGACACUGUUCAGAAGCCCCUUAUGUGGCCUUCAUCUCUUGAUGAAGACAAAAAUGAUGUUGUUUCUUCUCGGAGAAGGUUGGGUUCGGGCAACUGGAUGCAAAUGAGUGGGCACGAACCUACCUACAAGGACAUGCGAUCAGGAUUUCGACCUUUCAGUGACAUGCAUGGGUUUGGUAAACCAUCUUUUGAACAAAUUUCUACUAGUACAGAUCCUUUGAAGAACCAUUUUGAGGACCAGGAAGGCAAGCUUAACUUGCUUUUGGACCCAUAUUCUUUGAUACCUUCCAAGUGUUCCUUCAAUAAAGAGUCAACAUUCAAGAAGCCUCCACAUGCUGGUGAGCUACCUUAUCAGAGUGCUGAAAAUGUUACAUAUGGUGGGUUGGAAGAUUUUUCUCUGGUGCAAGGUCAUAGUAUUGAGCAAAAUCCUCCAAAUUGGCUAGCACAUCCGCAGUCAACUUUUCAAAGUGAAAACCGUGCACAUAAGAGGGCGGUAAUGCCUCAGCCUUUGGAAGCAGCCCAGAAUGAGAUAACAAGACCUAAAGAAAGUGGCAACUGCAAGCUCUUUGGUUUUCAUCUCAACAGCAAUCCCACUAAGUCUGACCAUGUAAUGAGAUCUGAACAUUCCAUGCCUCAGAUGAAAUCUGACCAUAUAAUGAGAUCCGAACAUUUAAUGCCUCAAACAAAUGCCACCAAUAACUUAGUGUCACAGACUCAACCUACAGUAGCACAAGACGAGUCACAAACCUUAGAAGUUGACCACCAUUCUAAGUUGCCCAGGGGUACAAAAUCAGUCACCACUGCUCCAGCAGCAACUGAGCAUGAGAUGCAUCAUCAGCAUUGCCCAGAGACUAUGAAGGAAGUUCUGAGCAAGCUUCCGGGUGGCUCAAGUAGGAGCUGCAGAAAGGUCCACAAACAAGGAAUUGCACUUGGAAGAUCUGUAGACCUUACAAAGUUCAAUGGCUAUGAUGAACUGAUUGCAGAGUUAGAUCAGAUGUUUGAAUUUGAGGGUGAAUUGACGGCGCCAAACAAUAAUUGGCUUAUUGUGUACACUGAUAAUGAGGGUGAUAUGAUGCUUGUGGGAGAUGACCCUUGGCUAGAAUUCUGUAGUAUGGUCUGCAAGAUUUAUAUAUACACAAGAGAGGAGGUUCAGAAGAUGAAACCAGGAACCCUGAACCCUAGAGUUGAAGGGAUUCCUACUGUAAUGAGAGGAAACGCAACUGCAAAAGUAACAAAAGUCCUUUUUCCUACAUCAACAGCUAACCCAGAGAACUGAUGCUGGUACCUCCUAGAAUUGGUAAGGGUUUUGAAGCAGUGGUCAGCAAAAGAGGAUUCCUGGAAAGCUUUUUCUUUGGUGCGGUCUAGCCAAAUUACUUUAUGUCGUCAAACUUGCAGUGGGGAAUGGUCAAUGGAGGAGUAUAUGAAUUGACGCGAUACAAAAGAUCCACCAUGCACCCAUAUUUUAAUAGCCACACAUAUUAUCCUCUCACUGUCGUGUAGGAGUGGAGUUGUAUGCUGGCUUCUAAGUUACGCCACUGGAAUGGUGGUAGUGGGAACAAAGAAUUUCAGCUGGGCAGAGCUUGACCUGUGUUUGAGAUUAAAAUUCAAGAUUUCUGAGCAGAUUGGUUAUGCUGAAAAUUUUAACUUGGGCAAAUCAACUCAGAAGGUGGAUAGGUUGGAGUUUGUUUUGACUUGGGAACGUAUCUAUGGAAAUGCAUGCAUUGAUACCAAUCCUUGAAUCCUUGACAUCCGAGUUGAGAGAGUGGUUCUAGCUACAGACGAGGAAUUGGUGAUAAGAAAAUGCAUGCAUGCAUACAUUUGAUAAGAAAAUGCAUGCAUGCUCCACUGUGCAAUUGUCAACUGAAUUUUUUAAGUACUUUAUCAUUAAGAGCUAUCAGGAUUAUCAAAUGUAUCUCUUUAUAGCUUCUUUAUUAAAGCUUGUCAUAAUAAGCAAAAACUAUAUCAUUUAUUAUUUUUUUGCGCUAAGCAAAUUCGAGUAUUUGUAUGUAUUUAGCUGAAGCCCCUCCAGAUUUGCUCAUAGCUGGUUGAAAUGCAUGUUUGACUCAAUUCUAAUUGAAAUCAUUGUCAAUUGGGGGCAUUUAGCACUAUAUUUUCUGCAU